AACAUAGAAGGGGUUUGCUUUCUUUCCUGCCUGCAGGGUUUUUGCAGAAUGUCAUACUGUAAUACCACCAGAACCAUUUUUCAAAGGCUGUGUUUUUGAUGGAUGUCGCAUAGAUGAUGAAUUCAUGCAGUGUUCCAGUCUGGAGAUGUAUGCAACAGAGUGUGCUGCUAGAGGUGUCUGCAUUGACUGGAGAGGAAUGACCAACAAUACAUGUGCAUUCAACUGUCCAUCAAGCUUGGUAUACAAGCCAUGUGGGCCUAUUAAUCCAGUUAACUGUGACCAAAGCUAUGAGCGUCCUGGUUACGGAAUAACUGAAGGCUGUUUCUG
rnacentral:lncRNA from 1 species